AGCGUAGGCGGACUUUUAAGUGAGAUGUGAAAUACCCAGGCUCAACUUGGGUGCUGCAUUUCAAACUGGAAGUCUAGAGUGCAGGAGAGGAGAAUGGAAUUCCUAGUGUAGCGGUGAAAUGCGUAGAGAUUAGGAAGAACACCAGUGGCGAAGGCGAUUCUCUGGACUGUAACUGACGCUGAGGCUCGAAAGCGUGGGGAGCAAACA
rnacentral:rRNA from 1 species